GACGAACGCUGGCGGCGUGCUUAACACAUGCAAGUCGAACGGAAAGGCCCUGCUUUUGUGGGGUGCUCGAGUGGCGAACGGGUGAGUAACACGUGAGUAACCUGUCCUUGACUUUGGGAUAACUUCAGGAAACUGGGGCUAAUACCGGAUAGGAGCUCCUGCUGCAUGGUGGGGGUUGGAAAGUUUCGGCGGUUGGGGAUGGACUCGCGGCUUAUCAGCUUGUUGGUGGGGUAGUGGCUUACCAAGGCUUUGACGGGUAGCCGGCCUGAGAGGGUGACCGGCCACAUUGGGACUGGGAUACGGCCCAGACUCCUACGGGAGGCAGCAGUGGGGAAUAUUGCACAAUGGGCGGAAGCCUGAUGCAGCAACGCCGCGUGCGGGAUGACGGCCUUCGGGUUGUAAACCGCUUUCGCCUGUGACGAAGCGUGAGUGACGGUAAUGGGUAAAGAAGCACCGGCUAACUACGUG
rnacentral:rRNA from 1 species